rnacentral:rRNA from 1 species
UGAGGAAUAUUGGUCAAUGGGCGCGAGCCUGAACCAGCCAAGUAGCGUGAAGGAUGAAGGUCCUAUGGAUUGUAAACUUCUUUUAUAGUAGAAUAAAGUGACCCACGUGUGGGUUUUUGUAUGUAUGCUAUGAAUAAGGAUCGGCUAACUCCGUGCCAGCAGCCGCGGUAAUACGGAGGAUCCGAGCGUUAUCCGGAUUUAUUGGGUUUAAAGGGUGCGUAGGCGGAAAGAUAAGUCAGCCUGUGAAAGUUUGCGGCUCAACCGUAAAAUUGCAGUUGAUACUGUUUUUCUUGAGUGUACAUAAGGUAGGCGGAAUUCGUGGUGUAGCGGUGAAAUGCUUAGAUAUCACGAAGAACUCCGAUUGCGAAGGCAGCUUACCGGGGUACAACUGACGCUGAUGCACGAAAGUGUGGGUAUCAAACA